rnacentral:rRNA from 1 species
UGGGCGUAAGCGCGCGCAGGUGGUUUCUUAAGUCUGAUGUGAAAGCCCACGGCUCAACCGUGGAGGGUCAUUGGAAACUGGGAGACUUGAGUGCCGAAGAGGAAAGUGGAAUUCCAUGUGUAGCGGUGAAAUGCGUAGAGAUAUGGAGGAACACCAGUGGCGAAGGCGACUUUCUGGUCUGUAACUGACACUGAGGCGCGAAAGCGUGGGGAGCAAACAGGAUUAGAUACCCUGGUAGUCCACGCCGUAGACGAUGAGUGCUAAGUGUUAGAGGGUUUCCGCCCCUUCUUGCUGACGUUAACGCAUGUAAUCACUCCGCCUGGG